rnacentral:rRNA from 1 species
UACAGAGGUCCCAAGCGUUGUUCGGAUUCACUGGGCGUAAAGGGUGCGUAGGUGGUGGGGUACGUCGGAUGUGAAAGCUCGGAGCUCAACUCCGAAAUGGCAUUGGAAACUACCCUGCUAGAGGAUUGGAGGGGGGACUGGAAUACUUGGUGUAGCAGUGAAAUGCGUAGAUAUCAAGUGGAACACCAGUGGCGAAGGCGAGUCCCUGGACAAUUACUGACACUGAGGCACGAAAGCUAGGGGAGCAAACAGG